UCGUCGGUGCAAAUCCGACCUGACUAACUAUCGCUCCAGCCGGAAGUACUUGUAGCGGUCCAGGAGGUAACAAAUGGGCUGAAGCACUACAAGAAAAGGUCUCCCCGGGAGAUCAACGGGCCAUGCGGGCCGUAACGAGA
rfam:Nitrosomonas communis strain Nm2, complete genome.